UCCUGCAUUCAGAACAGAUGUUUACUUGUAUAUUUUCUGAAAUAAUUAACUGGUUGAGUGACAUAAUUAACCGUCAGGCUCAAAGAACUGUAAGGAGUGGUUGCAAGGUCAAAAGCUGAUUGUAGAUGCACCUAGUUCUUGUGUUUUUCUUUUGGGGAUACAUUGAUUCUUUUGUGUUUAGUUAACUCUUUAAUGGUAGCUGAUGGAAUUUUCAUCUCUUUUAUUUUGUUGCUGCAGCUGACCCUACGGAGGGUCAUGGAUACAGCAAAGCAAGUCACCAGAUCUGGAAACUUGAACGAGUUUUCAAUGGUUUUGCUAAAUAAUACCCUAUCAUUACCUUUGGGAAUUAUUCUUAUUUACGUUUUCAAUGAGGUGGAAUAUCU
rnacentral:misc_RNA from 1 species